UACGUAGGGGGCAAGCGUUGUCCGGAUUUAUUGGGCGUAAAGAGCGUGUAGGCGGCUUGGUAGGUCUGCUGUGAAAACUCGGGGCUCAACCCCGAGACGUCGGUGGAAACCACCUGGCUAGAGUCCGGAAGAGGAGAGUGGAAUUCCUGGUGUAGCGGUGAAAUGCGCAGAUAUCAGGAGGAACACCGGUGGCGAAGGCGGGUCUCUGGGCCGAUAUCGACGCUGAGGAGCGAAAGCGUGGGGAGCGAACAGG
rnacentral:rRNA from 1 species